rnacentral:rRNA from 1 species
GACGAACGCUGGCGGCGUGCUUAACACAUGCAAGUCGUACGGUAAGGCCCUUUCGGGGGUCCACGAGUGGCGAACGGGUGAGUAACACGUGAGUAACCUGCCCACAACUUUGGGAUAACGCUAGGAAACUGGUGCUAAUACUGGUUAUGUGCUCCUGCUGCAUGGUGGGGGUUGGAAAGCUCCGGCGGUUGUGGAUGGACUCGCGGCCUAUCAGCUUGUUGGUGGGGUAGUGGCCUACCAAGGCGGCGACGGGUAGCCGGCCUGAGAGGGUGACCGGCCACAUUGGGACUGAGAUACGGCCCAGACUCCGACGGGAGGCAGCAGUGGGGAAUAUUGCACAAUGGGCGCAAGCCUGAUGCAGCAACGCCGCGUGCGGGAGGACGGCCUUCGGGUUGUAAACCGCUUUCAGCAGGGACGAAGCUUUUUGUGACGGUACCUGCAGAAGAAGCACCGGCUAACUACGUG